rnacentral:rRNA from 1 species
AACGAACGCUGGCGGCGUGCUUAACACAUGCAAGUCUAACGGGAAUGUCGGCUUCGGCUGACUAGUACCGUGGCGAACGGGUGAGUAACACGUGGGUAAUCUGCCCUCGAGCUCGGGAUAACCUUGCGAAAGCGAGGCUAAUACCGGAUAAGACCACGCCCUGCACGCAGGGCGCGGUCAAAGGUUGCCUCUUCUUGAAAGCUAUCACUUGAGGAUGAGACCGGGGCCUAUUAGCUAGUUGGUAGGGUAACGGCCUACCAAGGCGACGAUGGGUAGCCGGCCUGAGAGGGUGUACGGCCACACUGGCACUGAGACACGGGCCAGACUCCUACGGGAGGCAGCAGUGGGGAAUUUUGCGCAAUGGGGGAAACCCUGACGCAGCAACGCCGCGUGAGUGAUGAAGGCCUUCGGGUUGUAAAGCUCUUUUAGUGGGGAAGAAGCCCUCCCUGGCUAAUAUCCAGGGGGUCUGACGGUACCCACAGAAAAAGUUCCGGCUAACUACGUGCCAGCCGCCGCAGUAAGAC